UCAUAGCUCGCCUCGCGAGCAGUCCAACUCGCCAUGGCGAGUAAGCCCAGACAAAACUUGAUUUUCUGAAAAGUUGUUAUAAGAUGUUUUGGGGAUGGUUUAAGGUACCUAGAUGAUAUUAAUGAUGAAUGGUGAAAGUUUUAGGUUAAAAAGAUGAAUAGGGAGCUUAGAAUUGGAGUUUGAGUGAGAAAAUGUCACUUUUUCCCGAGAGUAGCUGUUUUUCACUCGCCUCGAGUUCGCCUUGAACUCGCCAUGGCGAGCUAGUGUUUUUGUGAACUCGCCAUGGCGAGCAGACGUGCUCGCGAGGCGAGCUACUCAGUUCCUGAAAGUUGAUUUUCGUGCAUGAGUGGUAGUACCCUGAUGUUGUUGGAUUUGAGCAUAGUUAUAUAAUUAUGCAUUAUUUGAUUGAUUGAAUUGCUGGAUUUGAUGAUGAUUGAUGAUGAUGAAUGCAUUGUAUGUUUAAUUAUUAAUCAUACAUGUUAUUUAAGUGGAGUCACUUGGAGUUGCAUUGCAUGGUCAGUUGUAUGUAGAUAUACACAAGUAGGUCCAUUGCAUAUGCAUAAAAACAGCGGUGAGGGCUUCGGUCCUGGAGUACUAGUUGCUCAACAGCGGUGAGGGCUUCGGUCCUGAUGAAUGCUUUAACCAUUCAAAAGCGGUGAGGGCUUCGGUCCUGAUUGGUACCACAUGCAUAAU
rnacentral:lncRNA from 1 species